rnacentral:rRNA from 1 species
AGCACGUAAGUGGGUUUGUAAGUCAGAUGUGAAAGCCUUCUGUUCAACGGAAGAAUUGCAUCUGAAACUGCGAGUCUUGAGUGUAGGAGGGGAGAAUGGAACUUCUGGUGGAGCGGUGAAAUGCGUAGAUAUCAGAAGGAGCGCCGGCGGCGAAAGCGAUUCUCUGGCCUAUUACUGACACUCAGUGUGCGAAAGCUAGGGGAGCAAACGGGAUUAGAUACCCCGGUAGUCCUAGCCGUAAACGAUGGGCACUAAGUAGAGGGGU